rnacentral:lncRNA from 1 species
GCCAGCAAGCGAGGAUCUGAAGCCUCCGCAACUCCACCAAACAUCCGCUCUCGAAUUAUCUCCGCGACCACGCUCGCGGGUGAUUGAUGGGUGAUGUCCUCUGCGUUAAGAAUGUCAUUAUCAGGGGCAGAGAGCAGAGGCACCACCGAGGUCUUCUUCUUCUCGAGCGGAGGCAGAGCUGGGGCAACAUGUCCGGAGGCCCGAGGUCUCUUUGGAACUGGGGCAGGAGCGUCGGAAAGAGGAGGACGCUUGCUCCCAGCCCCCUUUGCCAUGCCCUCCGAGGCAACCAA